AUUCUGUCAGAUCGACAUAGCCCUGCUUGUAUAUUAUGUGACUCAGGAGCAGAGAAAGAAAAGUAACUAUUGUCAAUAGGAGUAACGCUGGAUUGGACAACUCCCGUCUUACUUCCUGAGGAGCAGCACUGUAGUAGCCAAGCAACCUGAAGGAUUUGAUAUAACAGCAGGAGUUUCCGGGCAAAGCCAAUGUCUGGGCCAGUGUUUGCAACCUGGAUAACAGCAUUGUUUUAGCAAUCAGAGAAUGGAAGCUGGGGAUAAAGUUUGAGUGAGGCUCGGGGAGACAAAACCAGCAUUCAUCUACAGCACAUGAAAAUGAAUUGGCCCAUCAGCUUUCAACUGAAUAUAGUAGCACUGUGUCUUGCUACAUACAUUUUUCUACACCUCAAAAAAAAGUUUUUGUUUGUUUGUUUGAAACUAAACCCAAUGGAUUAAACCAUCUGCCUACUGUUUUCAAAAUGAAAGAAUUAUUUUCUCCCAAAUGAGUGAGAUAUCCUAGAAUGUAAACCCUUAGAGGGCAAGAAUUAAUAUUUUCAUGUUAUUUAAUAUUCUGCCAAGGAAAAUGCAAAGCCAUGUACUCAGGAGACACUAAUAGACAC
rnacentral:lncRNA from 1 species